GCAAUGGUAGUUUAGUGGUAGAAUCCUUGCCUUCCAUGCUGGAAAUCUGGGUUUAAUCCCUGGCCGGUGCA
rnacentral:tRNA from 1 species